rnacentral:rRNA from 1 species
UGGGGAAUAUUGGACAAUGGGCGCAAGCCUGAUCCAGCAAUGCCGCGUGAGUGAAGAAGGCCUUAGGGUUGUAAAACUCUUUCAGUGGUGAUGAUGAUGACAGUAACCACAGAAGAAGCACCGGCUAACUUCGUGCCAGCAGCCGCGGUAAUACGAAGGGUGCUAGCGUUGUUCGGAAUUACUGGGCGUAAAGAGCAUGUAGGCGGAUAGAUUAGUCAGAGGUGAAAGCCCCGAGCUCAACUCGGGAACUGCCUUUGAUACUGUUUAUCUUGAGUCCGAGAGAGGGUAGUGGAAUUCCCAGUGUAGAGGUGAAAUUYGUAGAUAUUGGGAAGAACACCAGUGGCGAAGGCGGCUACCUGGCUCGGUACUGACGCUGAGAUGCGAAAGCGUGGGGAGCAAACAGGAUUAGAUACCCUGGUAGUCCACGCCGUAAACGAUGAGUGCUAGCUGUUGGGGCCUUAGGUCUCAGYGGCGCAGCUAACGCAU